rnacentral:misc_RNA from 1 species
GAUGAAGAACGUAGUGAAAUGCGAUAAGUAAUGUGAAUUGCAGAAUUCAGUGAAUUAUCGAGUCUUUGAACGCACAUUGCGCCCCCUGGUAUUCCGGGGGGCAUGCCUGUCCGAGCGUCAUUGCUGCCCUCAAGCACGGCUUGUGUGUUGGGCCCCCGUCCCCGGUUCUCCCCGGGGACGGGCCCGAAAGGCAGCGGCGGCACCGCGUCCGAUCCUCGAGCGUAUGGGGCUUUGUCACCCGCUCUGUAGGCCCGGCCGGCGCCAGCCGACACCCCAACUUUAUUUUCUAAGGUUGACCUCGGAUCAGGUAGGGAUACCCGCUGAACUUAAGCAUAUCAAUAAGCGGAGGA